UAGGGAAUCUUCCGCAAUGGGCGAAAGCCUGACGGAGCAACGCCGCGUGAGUGAUGAAGGUCUUCGGAUCGUAAAACUCUGUUAUUAGGGAAGAACAAAUGUGUAAGUAACUAUGCACGUCUUGACGGUACCUAAUCAGAAAGCCACGGCUAACUACGUGCCAGCAGCCGCGGUAAUACGUAGGUGGCAAGCGUUAUCCGGAAUUAUUGGGCGUAAAGCGCGCGUAGGCGGUUUUUUAAGUCUGAUGUGAAAGCACACGGAUCAACCGUGGAGGGUCAUUGGAAACUGGAAAACUUGAGUGCAGAAGAUGAAAGUGGAAUUCCAUGUGUAGCGGUGAAAUGCGCUGAGAUAUGGAGGAACACCAGUGGCGAAGGCGACUUUCUGGUCUGUAACUGACGCUGAUGUGCGAAAGCGUGGGGAUCAAACAGG
rnacentral:rRNA from 1 species